UACGAAGGGGGGCUAGCGUUGCUCGGAAUCACUGGGCGUAAAGGGUGCGUAGGCGGGUCUUUAAGUCAGGGGGUGAAAUCCUGGAGCUCAACUCCAGAACUGCCUUUGAUACUGAAGAUCUUGAGUUCGGGAGAGGUGAGUGGAACUGCGAGUGUAGAGGUGAAAUUCGUAGAUAUUCGCAAGAACACCAGUGGCGAAGGCGGCUCACUGGCCCGAUACUGACGCUGAGGCACGAAAGCGUGGGGAGCAAACGGG
rnacentral:rRNA from 1 species